UACGUAGGGUGCGAGCGUUGUCCGGAAUUAUUGGGCGUAAAGGGCUCGUAGGCGGUCUGUCGCGUCGGGAGUGAAAACUCAGGGCUUAACCCUGAGCCUGCUUCCGAUACGGGCAGACUAGAGGUAUGCAGGGGAGAACGGAAUUCCUGGUGUAGCGGUGAAAUGCGCAGAUAUCAGGAGGAACACCGGUGGCGAAGGCGGUUCUCUGGGCCGAUACUGACGCUGAGGAGCGAAAGCAUGGGGGAGCGAACAGG
rnacentral:rRNA from 1 species